GAGAUGUUGGGUUAAGUCCCGCAACGAGCGCAACCCUUGUCUUUAGUUGCCAUCAUUAAGUUGGGCACUCUAAAGAGACUGCCGGUGACAAACCGGAGGAAGGUGGGGAUGACGUCAAGUCAUCAUGCCCCUUAUGACCUGGGCUACACACGUGCUACAAUGGGCAGUACAACGAGAAGCGAACCCGCGAGGGUAAGCGGAUCUCUUAAAGCUGUUCUCAGUUCGGACUGCAGGCUGCAACUCGCCUGCACGAAGCUGGAAUCGCUAGUAAUCGCGGAUCAGCACGCCGCGGUGAAUACGUUCCCGGGCCUUGUACACACCGCCCGUCACACCAUGGAAGUCUGCAAUGCCCAAAGUCGGUGGGAUAACCUUUAUAGGAGUCAGCCGCCUAAGGCAGGGCAGAUGACUGGGGUGAAGUCGUAACAAGGUAGCCGUAGGAGAACCUGCGGCUGGAUCACCUCCUUUCUAAGGAA
rnacentral:rRNA from 1 species